rnacentral:misc_RNA from 1 species
UCCGGUUUGUCACCGGCGGUCUCCUUAGAGUUCCCACCAUUACGUGUUGGCAACUAAGGACAAGGGUUGCGCUCGUUGCGGGACUUAACCCAACAUCUCACGACACGAGCUGACGACAGCCAUGCAGCACCUCUACAGCGGCCUCCGAAGAGGGGGGCUCAUCUCUGAGCCUUACCACUGCAGUUCAAACCCAGGUAAGGUUCUGCGCGUUGCUUCGAAUUAAUCCACAUAAUCCACCGCUUGUGCGGGUCCCCGUCAAUUCCUUUGAGUUUUAACCUUGCGGCCGUACUCCCCAGGCGGUCAACUUCACGCGUUAGCUUCGUUACCAAGGAAUUGCUUCCCCGACAACCAGUUGACAUAGUUUAGGGCGUGGACUAC